CGCGUCUUGACGGGGUGCUGAUACGCCAAAAACCGGCUAUCGGCUGAGAUUGCAUCGCAGAACCCGCGACCUGAUCCGGAUAAUACCGGCGUAGGGAUUAAGACCACAACGCAG
rnacentral:ncRNA from 2 species